rnacentral:rRNA from 1 species
GAUCGGGACAGGUGACGGAGGAUUAGGGUUUGACUCCGGAGAGGGAGCCUGAGAAAUGGCUCCCACAUCUAAGGAAGGCAGCAGGCGCGUGAAUUGCCCAAUCCUGAGAGAGGGAGGUAGUGACAAAAAAUAGCGAUACAAGGCAUCCAUGUUUUGUAAUUGGAAUGAGGGAUCAGUAAAUGUCGUUUUGAGUACCAAUUGGAGGGCAAGUCUGGUGCCAGCAGCCGCGGU